rnacentral:ncRNA from 1 species
AAUCUCUGGAGAAUCUCUUAAAUGAGUGCCGACGGUGCAAAGCUUAGUAAUAAGCUGAAUCUCUCAGGCAAAUGGACAGAGACGG